rnacentral:rRNA from 1 species
GGCACCUAUGCCGCCCGGGGGAUGGCUCGGCUCGGGCGCCGAGGAAGGGCGUGGCAAGCUGCGAUAAGCCCGGGGUAGGCGCAGGCAGCCGUCGAACCCGGGAUCCCCGAAUGGGACUUCCCGCUGCGGGCGAAGAGCCCGCAGCGCCCCCGUUUGGGGGCGGGAACCCCCCGAAAGGAAGCAUCUGAGUAGGGGGAGGAGAAGAAACCAACAGGGAUCCCCUGAGUAGGGGCGACCGAAAGGGGGAGAGCCCAAACCAAUCCCCCACGGGAGGACCGUGGGGGGAUGAGGGGUUGCGGCCCUGCGGCUGGGGCUUCGAGCCCCGGCGGGCCGACCCACGGUAGCCGAAGUGGGCUGGAAUGCCCCGCCGUAGAGGGUGAUAGCCCCGUAGGCGAAACCGUGGGGGCCCGUGCCGUAGGGCAGAGUACCACGGCUUGGUAUUGCCGUGGGAAGCUGGGAGGAACCGACUUCCAAGGCUAAAUACGUCCCGAGACCGAUAGCGAACUAAGUACCGUGAGGGAAAGCUGAAAAGAACCCCGGGAGGGGGGUGAAAAGAGCCUGAAACCGGGCGGCGACAUACGGUGCGGCCCGAAAGGGGUGAAACCCCCGAAGGAAACCCGGGCGACCGGGGAGUACGAGGGGGAUGGACCGGGGUCGCACCGUCCGUCUUGAAACACGGGCCGGGGAGUUCACGGCCGUGGCGAGCUUAAGGGGGUCAACCCCGUAGGCGCAGGGAAACCGACAGGCCCGCAGCCGGGGGCGACCCCGGCGAGGGGCGGGGUCCUAAUAGGGCCCGGAGUCACGGCCGUGAGACCAGAAACCGGGCGAUCUAGGCGGGGGCAGGGCGAAGCCGGGGGAAACCCCGGUGGAGGCCCGCAAGGGUGCUGACGUGCAAAUCGCUCCCCUGACCCCCGUCUAGGGGUGAAAGGCCAAUCUAGCCCGGAAGAUAGCUGGUUCCCGCCGAAGUGGCUCGCAGGCCAGCCCCGCCGGAGGCCGGGCCGUGGGGUAGAGCUACUGAUUGGGCGUGCAGGGGGCGUAAAGCCCCCGGCGCCCAGUCAAACUCCGAACCUGCGGCCGCCGUAGAUGGCGGGAGUGGGGUUCCCCGGGGUAAGCCCGAGGGCCGAGAGGGGAACAACCCAGACCGGGGUUAAGGCCCCUAAGUGCCGGCUAAGUGCCAAGCCAAAGGGCGUCCCCCGCCUAAGACAGCGGGGAGGUGGGCCUAACAGCAGCCAUCCUCUAAGGAGUGCGUAACAGCUCACCCGCCGAGGCGGGGGGCCCCGAAGAUUGGUCGGGGCUUAAGCCGGCCGCCGAGACCCCGGGCCGCGGCUCCGAUGGAGCCGCGUGCGGUAGGCGGGCGUCGGGGUGGCGUAGAAGCCGGGCCGCGAGGUCCGGUGGAGCCGCCCCGAGUGCGGAUCCCGGCGGUAGUAACAGCGAAGCGGGGUGAGAAUCCCCGCCGCCGGAAAGGGCAAGGGUUCCCCGGCAAUGGUCGUCAGCCGGGGGUCAGCCGGUCCUAACCGGGACCGUAACACGGAUCCCGGGAAGGGGAAACGGGUUAACAUUCCCGUGCCGCGGGGGUACGCUUCGCGGCAACGCAAGGCCCCACCCCCGACGCCUCGGGGUAGGCGGACCGGGGGCCCCCUUAGGGGGGCGACCCGGCUAACCUGCCGAAGGCCGGGGAGUGCCAUAACGGCGAGAACCGGCCGAAGGGGGGAAUGGCCCGCCUAUGGCGGGUUCCGCCGACCCCUGGGGCCCUUGAAAAGGGGGUGGGGAAGGAUCCCCCGCGCCCGUACCGAGAACCGACACAGGUGCCCCUGGGUGAGCAGCCCAAGGCGUCUGGGGGCUAACCCGGGCCAGGGAACUCGGCAAAUUGGCCCCGUAACUUCGGGAGAAGGGGUGCCUGCGGUCCUGGGGCCCGAACCCUGGGACCGCAGGUCGCAGUGCCUAGGGGGGCCUGACUGUUUAACAAAAACAUAGCUCCCCGCUAGCCCGAAAAGGGUGUGUACGGGGGGUGAGCCCUGGCCACUGGCGGUCCGUGAAACCGGGGUACAACCCGGCGAAGCGCCGCUGAAGGCCGGGAGUAACCCUGACUCUCUUAAGGUAGCCAAAUGCCUUGCCGGGUAAGUUCCGGCGCGCAUGAACGGGUCAACGAGGUCCCCACUGUCCUGGCCCGGGGCCCCGUGAACCCCCUGAGCCGGUGCACAGUCCGGCAUCCCCCCGCAGGGAGAGAAGACCCCGUGGAGCUUUACCGCAGCCCGGCGUUGGCCCCCGGGUGGGGGUGCGUAGCGUAGGUGGGAGCCGAUGAGCCACCCUCUCCGGGGGGUGGGGAGGCGUCCAUGAAACACCACCCACCCCCGCCCGGGGGCCUAACCCCGCCCCGGGUGGGCGGGGGACAGCGUCGGGUGGGCGGUUUGGCUGGGGCGGCACGCCCGCGAAAGGGUAACACGGGCGCCCAAAGGUCGGCUCAGGCGGGUCAGAACUCCGCCGUAGAGUGCAAGGGCAAAAGCCGGCCUGACCGGACCCCUGAAAGCAAGGGGUCCGGCCGGGAAACCGUGGCCUAGCGCACGCUCGUGCCCCCUCGGUGGGGGCCGGGCACGACAGAAAAGUUACCCCGGGGAUAACAGAGUCGUCGCGGGCGAGAGCCCCCAUCGACCCCGCGGUUUGCUACCUCGAUGUCGGCUCUUCCCAUCCUGGGGGUGCAGCAGCCCCCAAGGGUGGGGCUGCCCGCCCAUUAAAGGGGAACGUGAGCUGGGUUCAGACCGUCGUGAGACAGGUCGGUCUCUACCCGCGGGGGGUGUGGGCCGCCUGAGGGGAAGGUGCCCUUAGUACGAGAGGAACGGGGCGCCGCGGCCUCUGGUGUACCGGUUGUCCUGGUGGGCAACGCCGGGCAGCUAAGCCGUAGGGGGUAACCGCUGAAAGCAUCUAAGCGGGAACCCCUCCCCGAAAAGAGGCGGCCGUUGGGCGCCGGCCUGGUGCCGGCGUCCACGAGGGCUCCCGUAGAAGACGGGGUUGAUGGGGCGGGGGUGUGAGCCCCGAGGGGGCUUAGCCCUCGAGGGGUGUAGCCCGCCGCUCCCAAUCGCCCGAGGCCG